rnacentral:sRNA from 1 species
GAUGAGAAGCUUCGACUAAGGUUCGGCUCGAGCGUCAGCGAGAGAGCGUUGCCGCAGGCAACGACCCGAAGGGCGAAGCGCGCAGCGCUGAGUAAUCCUUCCCCCACCACCA